UACGGGGGGGGUAAGCGUUGUUCGGAAUUACUGGGCGUAAAGGGCUCGUAGGCGGCCAACUAAGUCAGACGUGAAAUCCCUCAGCUUAACUGGGGAACUGCGUCUGAUACUGGGAGGCUAGAGUGCGGGAGAGGGAUGCGGAAUUCCAGGUGUAGCGGUGAAAUGCGCAGAUAUCAGGAGGAACACCGGUGGCGAAGGCGGAUCUCUGGGCCAUUACUGACGCUGAGGAGCGAAAGCGUGGGGAGCGAACAGG
rnacentral:rRNA from 1 species